CCUACGGGAGGCAGCAGUGGGGAAUCUUGCACAAUGGAGGAAACUCUGAUGCAGCGAUGCCGCGUGAGUGAAAAAGGCCUUUGGGUUGUAAAGCUCUUUUGUAGGGGAAGAUAAUGACUGUACCCUAAGAAUAAGGUCCGGCUAACUUCGUGCCAGCAGCCGCGGUAAUACGAAGGGACCUAGCGUAGUUCGGAAUUACUGGGCGUAAAGCGCGCGUAGGCCGUUGAGUUAGUUAAUUGUGAAAUCCCAAAGCUUAACUUUGGAACUGCAAUUAAAACUGCUCGACUAGAGUUUGAUAGAGGAAAGCGGAAUACAUAGUGUAGAGGUGAAAUUCGUAGAUAUUAUGUAGAACACCAGUUGCGAAGGCGGCUUUCUGGAUCAACACUGACGCUGAGGCGCGAAAGUAUGGGUAGCAAAAGAGGAUUAGAUACCCUCGUAGUCCAUACCAUAAACGAUGAUUGCUAGAUGUUGGAAAUUUAUUUCAGUAUCGCAGCUAACGCAUUAAAGCAAUCCGCCUGGGGAUACGACCGCAAGGUUAAAACUCAAAAGGAAUUGACGG
rnacentral:rRNA from 1 species